rnacentral:ncRNA from 1 species
UGGCGGCGGGCUAAGACGGGAAUGCAGUGAGAAUCUGCAACACUGCCCGGUGCUGUAUAUCCUUUUUCGUGGCUCGCCAUGCGUCCGCACUGGCGUGACAAGAGCCACACGCAGCCGCCAGCGUCACUGGGCGGCGCAGCGGUGUCAACGAUGUUGAUGACACCCGCGCCGUUUGGGAAGACGGAGCUGCAAGUCUGGAUAGAGUCAGAAGACCUGCCUUUGCUU